CGUGUAGGCGGCCUCUUAAGUCUGGUGUGAAAGCCCGGGGCUUACCCCCGGAAGGGCACUGGAAACUGGGAGGCUGGAGUACCGGAGAGGAGGGUGGAAUUCCUGGUGUAGCGGUGAAAUGCGUAGAUAUCAGGAGGAACACCGGUGGCGAAGGCGGCCCUCUGGACGGAUACUGACGCUGAGACGCGAAAGCGUGGGGAGCAAACAGGAUUAGAUACCCUGGUAGUCCACGCUGUAAACGAUGGGCACUAGGUGUUCGGGGUAUUGACCCCCUGAGUGCCGCAGCUAACGCAUUAAGUGCCCCGCCUGGGGACUACGGCCGCAAGGCUAAA
rnacentral:rRNA from 1 species